GAGAACUAACAAAACAACGAGAUGGAGGAGACAAUUGAUCAUAACAUUCAAAAGAAGAAAUAGGGCAAGUACAUUGACGCUUACUUUUGCAGAGAGUAAUGGGAAGAUCUAAGUCAGACUAGGAGUAGUGUAUGGAACUAGAUCUUCCGACGAAGAUGCAGGUGGAGGAUUUGAGUCAAGAGUCUCUAAUCUCCUAGAAUAAACAU
rnacentral:misc_RNA from 1 species